CGGGAGAGGGAGAGAACCGUGAGCCGAUCCGGCUGCCAGAGAGCACAGGGCUCUACUCCGGAUCCAGAAGUGAGGAUGAAGAAUUCAAACACGACAGGGUGGGAAGAGAACUCCUGAGAGAAGUGUGAGAGCCACGGCCCAGGAGAGAGGGGAUGGAAAAUGGAGAGAAAAAUAGGAUGUGGAGGGGGAUAUGGAGCACUUCUCCAUUGAAAUGGAGGAGCAGACCACCUGAGCUGAGGAUGCAUGUUAAGUCCUGAAUGAGGUAAGGGGAGCUGCAGCUUUAAGACUUUGGCUUGAACUCCCAAUGUGGGUAUCACCAGGCCCUUCACGUAAUCUAUCUCUGUUCUCUAGAGUACCUACAUCCCUCUCUUUCUUUCCCUGUUGCACAGAGAUGCAUGACCUUGAUACUAUUCCUGCAAGAUACAGUAGCUGCAAGAUAAAGAACCGACUGCCGUGCAACUCAUCUGUGCUACAAUAUGUGUGCAAUAUGAGUAGCAGCUACAAGCAUCCAGCUGUGGUACAGCUGUGGUACUGCGGCUUUCAGAAAAGGAGUAGCUAAUCUCUAAGGUCACAUUAAAAGACUCAGGUGAGAAUGGGAUCCUAUGUGUUGCAGGAUGGUGAAGGACAAAAGACUGGAUUUCAGAGUUAUAGGCAGGGGGUGGCCAAGAAAAUCCCAGCUGCUGCUACUGCAUGCAGGUCAACUAGAAGGCAACACUCAGACUCACCUCUCAAUUACCUCCAGGCACUACUCAACCCAUGCUUUUGUAACACAGACUAUUAUUAGAGAGGUGCUUGGAGGAGAGCCCUUGGGACAUGUCCCACUUCCAUUGACAGUAGCAGUCCCAGAACACUGAUGAAGAUGCCCUAGUGCAUUUUCACUGCCUGCUGCCAGGAGCCAGAGCAUACUGAGGAGACAAGUAUCCUGCCUACUUUAUGCUCAGUUCAUGGAAAAAAGUGACACAGGAGCUAAUGGUCAAAAACUUUGGCUCACCAAACUUAAUGCAGGGCUAUGCAGAGGGGACUUUGGCAAUGCUAUUUUGUGUAGAACUAGAUAUUUCUUCCUUGUCAUGUGCAGUUACCCAACAGGUAUGAGGAAGGUCAUUUAUUGUUUACCUACCAGGGGCAGAAAGAGUGAUGCCAUUGAGUCAACACAUAAACAGAGAAAAACAGUGGAUGAGCAGCAACUACAGUGAGAGUAGACAUAGGAAAGGAAACAAAUGGGAGAAGAAAGAGCCGACCUGUUACCCAAAAUCACAACUAAGGUGACCAUUAGUGCAACAAGGAUAGACUGUAAGAGUUGGACUCUCAGGUACUGCAUAGAAGAGGAGGAGGUUAUAGACGCUUUAAUAUUAAUUUUCAGCUUUAAUAUACAGCUUUCUUUCUAACUAACAGCUUUUUAUGUUUGUUCCAUAUUUAAUAAAGAGGGGCUUACACAGAGCUAUCUUUACUCAAAAGGGGGAAAUGAUGAGUGGGCUAUUUCAGAUUUGCCGCAAGGGAGAAGGGAGAAAAUUAUUUGAGAUUUGCUGCAAGAGCUGUGGCAGGAAAAACAAAGGCAGAGAUAGUGUUGCAUGAUAGGGUUGUAAGGCUUGUUCUGAUAACCAGAGGACUUGAGUAAGCAUAGAGGCCCUCCCACAAGGACUUUAUUAAGCCUGCAUGCUCAGCAUGCUCCCUAGAACUGCAGCAUGCAUGCAUUUUCCUGAAAAAAGCGUCCUUCUCUGUCAGUGAAAGGCAAUGCUGAAGCUCUCAGCCGGGUACUGAAUUUCUGGCAGUAAAGAACAGUUCAGCUUCCAGCUGCUGCUGCACAGAGAAUUAAUCAGGGCUGAAGAACUGGAGCAGAGCAAGCCCCACAGGUUCCAAGAGGGUGGUUGGUUGUCACCCUGAUCAUGUCCCCAGCUGACACAACACAGAAGCUGCUCGGGGGAAGUAUGAGGAGUUUGCUCACUGCUCUUCUCUGUGCUUUGAGUGAAAACACAGGGCACCCCUCUGGUUCACUGAGUGGCUCAGCACAGGAGGGAGCACAGCUGCUCUCCAAUUCUGUAGUAGAUCAGCAGUGGUACAAAUUUGGUGCAGAAUGAUUUUUUUCCUCUCAGAUGAACUUACUCUAGUGACAAUUGCCUCUUUCCCUUUUACUUCCCCCCUGCCAGAAUUUGCCCCCCUUCCAGAAUUUGCACCAAGAGAAACAGAUCCAUUCUAGGUUGCCAGGGCAAGAACUUGGAAUUAGAAACAAACCUCCCAUGGAGAUAUAAAGAGGGAAAUGCCAGAAGCAGCAUUAAAAACUAACAGUUCCAUUUUGUCAAGUUUUGAAAUUAUAGAAAUUCUAGGAGCUUAAAGUAGUUCAAUUGGUCCAAAAACCCCCCAUGGAGACUGCUAGCCAAAAUAAUUAACAAUUCCCCCAAGCAGCUUGCUCUGAGUGCUGUUCUUCAGCCAAAAUGUUUCCCAAGAAAGGGGGUCAGGAGGGGAGAAUAGAGUGGAGUGAGGGAACCUGUCUGUUACGCAUGUGAUUGUUAGCAGAGAAGCUUCUUGCUCUUAAAAGGGGAACGAAUUAUGAAUGUGGGAAUAAGCAAACAGGGGAAAGUGGGACACUGUGACUGAAAAUAAUCAGGUCCUGUCCAGUGACUUUUCAGCUGAAGCAGAUGACCAACCUGAUUACAGUAGCUGGCACUAUCUUCUUCUCUUUCAUUGCACCUUGGCACUAGUCUGAAUGCACUACAGCUGCAUCCUCUCCCAUUAAUAUAAACAAGGGACCGAAGUCCAGUUCUGACAUACUGCCUUGUGCACUUGUGGGCACAUCAAGGAAGGGCAAUAUCCUGGUUUUUUUCUGCCUGAGUUUAAAGAUGAGAUUCUCUGAGGGGUGGCUUCUCUCCCCCAGACAUCCAGAACUACAGAGAGAGAAAAGAUGAAAGCCAGUUACCAGCUAACAGCUUCUACUUGCAGACCAAUAGAAAUCUGAGCAGUGAAGGAAGGCUGAACUACUCAGCUGUGAUUUACUGCAGUGCAGGUAAGCCUAGACUGGGCUGCUCUGCUUAUCCAUCUUUACUGGAGUUUUCCUGCAUCAAUACACUGGAGAUUAAUAUGCCAACUCUAUUUCCAUUACACACUCUGCUAUUUCUCCCUUUGUUAAAUGGAAAGACCAGAGACAAGCUUGCCAGAGGCCCUCAAGGCCCCAGGUGUCCUUUCAAAAAACGCCUAGACUCAGCUUGAAAAGCCAGGCAGUACACGGAAGAAUGGGUGUCUGGGGAACAGAAUGCUACUGCCCAGAGGUGACAGUCCCACGGCUGGGAGACACGAGGGCCAGCAGCACAAGGGUGGGCUGACCUGGCCUCCUAAUAGAAAUAUCCACUGAACACCAUGCACAAACAUGCUGCCCUGCAUGUCCCAAAGAGCAACACGGGCAGAAGGGUGGCAGGAAAGGUACGGUGAAAGCAUGGGGACAGAUACUUCUCUGACAUAGAGAGCAGAAGGGAUGGUGAGGUGAGAUAGCAGCGUGCACCAAGUGAAGACAGAGGAAUCAAUGUGGAACAUGACAAGAAAGAGCAUGUGGUUAAACACUGUGCUGUUCCUAAAAAUUGACAGAGAAAGUGAAGUUCCUGUGCCUUUUGAACUACUAUGCCUUUGAAAAAAGUGCCCAAAACAGGACAUGUGUCAUAGAAGAUCUGAAGAAGGACAGCAGAAAAUUGCAAAGAAUCCUGCUUUGAGUCUAGGACAGGACAGAUGAAGGUGCAGAGACCCAAAUACCACGCUCCCAUUAGACAAGCAGGCUCAAGCAUAAGACAUCGCUCAGCACCAACAUCAAAUUUAAUUCUUCCCUCUUCAGGACAGGAACAGGGCAGAUACUCCUGGAGUUACAUCAGCAAGCGGAAAGAGGGCUAAGGAACAAACUGUGCUGGGAAAUCCCAGCUAAACAUGCAGGCAACAGAACCACUCUACUCAAGACAGCCCAGACCUGGAUGGGGGAAGAAUGUAGCUCUUCUGAGUCACUGAGGUGCAACUCACCUCUGCUGAGUCCACUCAGCUGCCCAAAACCAUAAC